rnacentral:rRNA from 1 species
CCUACGGGACGCUGCAGUGAGGAAUAUUGGUCAAUGGGCGGAAGCCUGAACCAGCCAAGUAGCGUGCAGGAUGACGGCCCUACGGGUUGUAAACUGCUUUUAUACGGGAAUAACGCGCCUUACGUGUAGGGCUUUGCAUGUACCGUAUGAAUAAGGACCGGCUAAUUCCGUGCCAGCAGCCGCGGUAAUACGGAAGGUCCGGGCGUUAUCCGGAUUUAUUGGGUUUAAAGGGAGCGUAGACCGGAUGUCAAGCGUGCUGUGAAAGGUUGGGGCUCAACCCUGGCCUUGCAACGAGUACUGGCGGGCUUGAGUCCGCGGAAGGCAGGCGGAAUUCGUGGUGUAGCGGUGAAAUGCUUAGAUAUGACGAAGAACCCCGAUUGCGAAGGCAGCUUGCUGCAGCGGAACUGACGCUGAUGCUCGAAAGCGCGGGUAUCGAACAGGAUUAGAUACCCGAGUAGUC